GACGAACGCUGGCUGCGUGCUUAACACAUGCAAGUCGAACGCUGAAGCCUGGUGCUUGCACCGGGUGGAUGAGUGGCGAACGGGUGAGUAACACGUGAGUAACCUGCCCCUGACUUCGGGAUAAGCCCGGGAAACUGGGUCUAAUACCGGAUACGACUGCCGGACGCAUGUCUGGUGGUGGGAAGUUUUUUCGGUUGGGGAUGGGCUCGCGGCCUAUCAGUUUGUUGGUGAGGUAAUGGCUCACCAAGACGACGACGGGUAGCCGGCCUGAGAGGGCGACCGGCCACACUGGGACUGAGACACGGCCCAGACUCCUACGGGAGGCGGCAGUGGGGAAUAUUGCACAAUGGGGGAAACCCUGAUGCAGCGACGCAGCGUGCGGGAUGACGGCCUUCGGGUUGUAAACCGCUUUCAGCAGGGAAGAAGCGCAAGUGACGGUACCUGCAGAAGAAGUACCGGCUAACUACGUGCCAGCAGCCGCGGUAAUACGUAGGGUACGAGCGUUGUCCGGAAUUAUUGGGCGUAAAGAGCUCGUAGGUGGUUGGUCACGUCUGCUGUGGAAACGCAACGCUUAACGUUGCGCGUGCAGUGGGUACGGGCUGACUAGAGUGCAGUAGGGGAGUCUGGAAUUCCUGGUGUAGCGGUGAAAUGCGCAGAUAUCAGGAGGAACACCGGUGGCGAAGGCGGGACUCUGGGCUGCAACUGACACUGAGGAGCGAAAGCAUGGGGAGCGAACAGGAUUAGAUACCCUGGUAGUCCAUGCCGUAAACGUUGGGCACUAGGUGUGGGGGGCAUUCCACGUUCUCCGCGCCGUAGCUAACGCAUUAAGUGCCCCGCCUGGGGAGUACGGUCGCAAGGCUAAAACUCAAAGGAAUUGACGGGGGCCCGCACAAGCGGCGGAGCAUGCGGAUUAAUUCGAUGCAACGCGAGGAACCUUACCAAGGCUUGACAUACACCGGACCGUCCUGGAAACAGGUCUUCUUCUUUGAAGCUGGUGUACAGGUGGUGCAUGGUUGUCGUCAGCUCGUGUCGUGAGAUGUUGGGUUAAGUCCCGCAACGAGCGCAACCCUCGUUCUAUGUUGCCAGCAUGUGAUGGUGGGAACUCAUAGGAGACUGCCGGGGUCAACUCGGAGGAAGGUGGGGAUGACGUCAAAUCAUCAUGCCCUUUAUGUCUUGGGCUUCACGCAUGCUACAAUGGCUGGUACAGAGAGAGGCGAACCCGUGAGGGCAAGCGAAUCCCUUAAAGCCAGUCUCAGUUCGGAUCGUAGUCUGCAAUUCGACUACGUGAAGUCGGAGUCGCUAGUAAUCGCAGAUCAGCAACGCUGCGGUGAAUACGUUCCCGGGCCU
rnacentral:rRNA from 1 species